AGCGUACACGGUGGAUGCCCUGGCAGUCAGAGGCGAUGAAGGACGUGCUAAUCUGCGAUAAGCGUCGGUAAGGUGAUAUGAACCGUUAUAACCGGCGAUUUCCGAAUGGGGAAACCCAGUGUGUUUCGACACACUAUCAUUAACUGAAUCCAUAGGUUAAUGAGGCGAACCGGGGGAACUGAAACAUCUAAGUACCCCGAGGAAAAGAAAUCAACCGAGAUUCCCCCAGUAGCGGCGAGCGAACGGGGAGCAGCCCAGAGCCUGAAUCAGUGUGUGUGUUAGUGGAAGCGUCUGGAAAGGCGCGCGAUACAGGGUGACAGCCCCGUACACAAAAAUGCACAUGCUGUGAGCUCGAUGAGUAGGGCGGGACACGUGGUAUCCUGUCUGAAUAUGGGGGGACCAUCCUCCAAGGCUAAAUACUCCUGACUGACCGAUAGUGAACCAGUACCGUGAGGGAAAGGCGAAAAGAACCCCGGCGAGGGGAGUGAAAAAGAACCUGAAACCGUGUACGUACAAGCAGUGGGAGCACGCUUAGGCGUGUGACUGCGUACCUUUUGUAUAAUGGGUCAGCGACUUAUAUUCUGUAGCAAGGUUAACCGAAUAGGGGAGCCGAAGGGAAACCGAGUCUUAACUGGGCGUUAAGUUGCAGGGUAUAGACCCGAAACCCGGUGAUCUAGCCAUGGGCAGGUUGAAGGUUGGGUAACACUAACUGGAGGACCGAACCGACUAAUGUUGAAAAAUUAGCGGAUGACUUGUGGCUGGGGGUGAAAGGCCAAUCAAACCGGGAGAUAGCUGGUUCUCCCCGAAAGCUAUUUAGGUAGCGCCUCGUGAACUCAUCUCCGGGGGUAGAGCACUGUUUCGGCAAGGGGGUCAUCCCGACUUACCAACCCGAUGCAAACUGCGAAUACCGGAGAAUGUUAUCACGGGAGACACACGGCGGGUGCUAACGUCCGUCGUGAAGAGGGAAACAACCCAGACCGCCAGCUAAGGUCCCAAAGUCAUGGUUAAGUGGGAAACGAUGUGGGAAGGCCCAGACAGCCAGGAUGUUGGCUUAGAAGCAGCCAUCAUUUAAAGAAAGCGUAAUAGCUCACUGGUCGAGUCGGCCUGCGCGGAAGAUGUAACGGGGCUAAACCAUGCACCGAAGCUGCGGCAGCGACGCUGAUGCGUUGUUGGGUAGGGGAGCGUUCUGUAAGCCUGUGAAGGUGUGCUGUGAGGCAUGCUGGAGGUAUCAGAAGUGCGAAUGCUGACAUAAGUAACGAUAAAGCGGGUGAAAAGCCCGCUCGCCGGAAGACCAAGGGUUCCUGUCCAACGUUAAUCGGGGCAGGGUGAGUCGACCCCUAAGGCGAGGCCGAAAGGCGUAGUCGAUGGGAAACAGGUUAAUAUUCCUGUACUUGGUGUUACUGCGAAGGGGGGACGGAGAAGGCUAUGUUGGCCGGGCGACGGUUGUCCCGGUUUAAGCGUGUAGGCUGGUUUUCCAGGCAAAUCCGGAAAAUCAAGGCUGAGGCGUGAUGACGAGGCACUACGGUGCUGAAGCAACAAAUGCCCUGCUUCCAGGAAAAGCCUCUAAGCAUCAGGUAACAUCAAAUCGUACCCCAAACCGACACAGGUGGUCAGGUAGAGAAUACCAAGGCGCUUGAGAGAACUCGGGUGAAGGAACUAGGCAAAAUGGUGCCGUAACUUCGGGAGAAGGCACGCUGAUAUGUAGGUGAAGUCCCUCGCGGAUGGAGCUGAAAUCAGUCGAAGAUACCAGCUGGCUGCAACUGUUUAUUAAAAACACAGCACUGUGCAAACACGAAAGUGGACGUAUACGGUGUGACGCCUGCCCGGUGCCGGAAGGUUAAUUGAUGGGGUCAGCGCAAGCGAAGCUCUUGAUCGAAGCCCCGGUAAACGGCGGCCGUAACUAUAACGGUCCUAAGGUAGCGAAAUUCCUUGUCGGGUAAGUUCCGACCUGCACGAAUGGCGUAAUGAUGGCCAGGCUGUCUCCACCCGAGACUCAGUGAAAUUGAACUCGCUGUGAAGAUGCAGUGUACCCGCGGCAAGACGGAAAGACCCCGUGAACCUUUACUAUAGCUUGACACUGAACAUUGAGCCUUGAUGUGUAGGAUAGGUGGGAGGCUUAGAAGUGUGGACGCCAGUCUGCAUGGAGCCGACCUUGAAAUACCACCCUUUAAUGUUUGAUGUUCUAACGUUGACCCGUAAUCCGGGUUGCGGACAGUGUCUGGUGGGUAGUUUGACUGGGGCGGUCUCCUCCUAAAGAGUAACGGAGGAGCACGAAGGUUGGCUAAUCCUGGUCGGACAUCAGGAGGUUAGUGCAAUGGCAUAAGCCAGCUUGACUGCGAGCGUGACGGCGCGAGCAGGUGCGAAAGCAGGUCAUAGUGAUCCGGUGGUUCUGAAUGGAAGGGCCAUCGCUCAACGGAUAAAAGGUACUCCGGGGAUAACAGGCUGAUACCGCCCAAGAGUUCAUAUCGACGGCGGUGUUUGGCACCUCGAUGUCGGCUCAUCACAUCCUGGGGCUGAAGUAGGUCCCAAGGGUAUGGCUGUUCGCCAUUUAAAGUGGUACGCGAGCUGGGUUUAGAACGUCGUGAGACAGUUCGGUCCCUAUCUGCCGUGGGCGCUGGAGAACUGAGGGGGGCUGCUCCUAGUACGAGAGGACCGGAGUGGACGCAUCACUGGUGUUCGGGUUGUCAUGCCAAUGGCACUGCCCGGUAGCUAAAUGCGGAAGAGAUAAGUGCUGAAAGCAUCUAAGCACGAAACUUGCCCCGAGAUGAGUUCU
rnacentral:rRNA from 1 species